rnacentral:rRNA from 1 species
GGUGGAGCGAUUUGUCUGGUUAAUUCCGAUAACGAACGAGACUCCGGCCUGCUAAUUAGUGCAUUUGUCCACUGCAUCUGUGCAGGCGGCGUUGGACGAGGCUGCUGGUACUACUGCCUGUGGGUGGCGCGCAUUGUUCUUCUGGUUGAACUCAGCUGGAGGGACGGUGUGACGACUGCCUGCUUGUUGGUGUACGGCUGGUCGGUCCGGUGUUAGCCUCCGGGUGCGGCGCGAAUGCCUACUUCUUAGAGGGACAAGCGGGAGAAGCCGCACGAAAUAGAGCAAUAACAGGUCUGUGAUGCCCUUAGAUGUCCGGGGCCGCACGCGCGCUACAAUGACGGUGUCAUCGAGUCAGACCUUCUGGCCCGAAAGGGUUGGGCAAACUGGUCAAUCACCGUCAUGACAGGGAUCGGGGCUUGGAAUUGUUCCCCGCGAACGAGGAAUUCCUAGUAAGUGCAAGUCAUAAGCUUGCGCUGAUUACGUCCCUGCCCUUUGUACACACCGCCCGUCGCUACUACCGAUUGAAUGGUUUAGUAAGGUCCUUGGAUUGGUGCCAUUAUGAUAGUGGCCGUGAGGUUGCUCUCUGACAGGCGCCGAGAAGAAGACCAAACUUGAUCAUUUAGAGGAAGUAAAAGUCGUAACAAGGUUUCCGUAGGUGAACCUGCGGAAGGAUCAUUACACGUUCC